rnacentral:rRNA from 1 species
AGUGAACGCUGGCGGCAUGCUUUACACAUGCAAGUCGAACGGCAGCGGGGAGGAGCUUGCUUCUCUGCCGUCGCGUGGCGAACGGGGGAGUAAUAUACCUCGACGUGUCGUUAAGAGGGGGGUAAACAGCAGGAAGACUUGCGAUUACAGCAUAAACUCUGAGGAAGAAAACUGAGGACCUCGGAAUAGGUUUAGCGCUUGUUUAGCCGGCGAUGUCGGAUUAGCUAGUUGGUGGGGUAAAGGCCCACCAAGGCGAAGAUCUGUAGCUGGUCUGAGAGGAUGAUCCGCCACACUGGAACUGAGACACGGUCCAGACUCCUACGGGAGGCAGCAGUGGGGAAUUUUGGACAAUGGGGGCAAGCCUGAUCCAGCCAUGCCGCGUGUAUGAAGAAGGCCUUAGGGUUGUAAAGUACUUUUGUUAGGGAAGAAAAGUAAGCGGUGAAUAAUCGCUGAUACUGACGGUACCUAAAGAAUAAGCACCGGCUAACUUCGUG